ACGGCUCUGCGGCCUGGGAUUCCAACCUCCCAGCAUCCCGGCCACGCGGGUCCGCGAUGCCAAACCCCCUCACCCUCCAGACAGCAACCGUCGCCCCAUCAGAUAACCUUCAGAACCCUCCUGGGACUCCUGCUCCCCGACCCCUGGACCACGACCCUUGCCCCUCCCCUGGAUAGCUUCUCCUAAUAGCCCCCCCGGAACGCCUGUCCCCCCUUACCCUGGGCCAGCGACCUCCGCCCCUCCCCACAACCCCCAGCAGCCCCCGAACAUCUGCCCGCUUAACUCCGGGUUAGCAAACCCCAGCACCUCUCAGGACACCUACCCCACUCAGCCCGAGAGAGCGACCCCCAGCACCCCCUGGGGCCCCUGACCGCCCCCCAUCCCGGGUUAGCGACCCCUGCCUCUCCACGACCCCCAGCACUCCCCCAGACACCUGCCUCCUUCACACCGGGUCAGCAAACCCCAGAACCUUCCGGGACGCCUGCCCCCAGCCAGGAGCAGUGACCCCAGCCCGCGUUGAACGGCGGUGCAGUAGAGGCCGGGGUUGCGGGGAGCGAGAGGCGGUGCCCGUGGGGUGGGGCCUGGCAGAGCCGCCGGCUCGCCGUUUAGGGGUGUUGAAGCAUAGCUCACCCACCCUGACGGUGGUAUGUGGAGGGAGAACAAAGUACCAACCCCUAGACGCUGCUCCAAGUGACUGAUGCCGGCGUAAACACUUGCAUGAAUUAGGGUUUGACCCACACACAGGUUUUGUGCCCCACCCAGAGCUAGGAAACUGCGGGUAAAGGCUGGACGGAUAGCAAGGACUUGGAGGAUAAAAGUCCUGAGGACUGAGGUCUCCAGUACUGAAAGCCUGAACUAUUUCAGAAGAAGGGUCUGCAGGUCACUUCCCAGACAACCUGGCGGUCGCGUUGAAAUAAUUACCCACGCUCCCCAGCCCUGAGCUUGGUUCACCUGCAAAGAUCAGGACCCUCCAAAGUUGGUUGAAGCCCUAACCCCCAUGUGGCUGUUUUGGAGACGGGGCAUCUGAGGAAGUAAGUAGGAUUCAAAGUGGUCUGGAGGGUAGGGCCCUGAUCCGGGAGGAGUGAUGUCCUUACAGAAGAAACACCAGGCAGCUCCCACACUCUGUCCUUGGGAACUCACUGAGGAAGGCCUCGUGAGGACAUGUGCAGAGCCCUGUCUAUGAGCCAGGACACUGGCCUCGCCAGAAACUGAAUCGAUCAGAACCUUGAUCAUAGACUUCCAGCCUCCAGAACUCAUGGAGGGAGGCAGACUUGGGUCAAAGCUAACUGGAAAUGAGAGUGGCCAUAGCUUUGACUCUGAACUGCUUUCACCUGCUGCAGUCCAGAAGCAGACCUUCUUCAGAGUGAAAAGGUAGCAAGAGACAGCAUCCUUCAUCAGAACCAGUAUAUCUUGCCAACAAACAAGCCCAAGUUCUGCUUCUUUCAGGAACAGAGAAAACAUGGCUCACUUCUGUCCAGAAGUACAAAUGGCACGGAGCAUUGGUUCUUGCCACAGGUGGCCAGCGGUGGGCACAUGUUCCAGCCCUGAGGACAUCAGAACUCUGCCACCACCAGUGGUGGUGCCCAGAGCGAUGCAAGGGCCUCGGGCAGAAGGUGUUUAACCUGCUAGACCCAGGAGGAGACAGCCUGCAGCCCUGGAAGGGGAGGUUGUGAAACCUCAGCUUUUCCUGCCUAAGAGUGGCUUCUUUAAAUGUAAAAAGCCUUCAAACAUGAAGGUAAUUACAUGAUGUUUUAGAAUUAAUAAAUCAAACAAAAGUGGCAUAACACUUGACAAACUAAGCUGCUGGACUUGAGAAGGGCAGGAAGGCACUGACUGGUCUCCCCUCUGGACAUACCAUGAGGCCACACCGUGGACCUUGCAGCCAGUGUGGAAGCCACGCUGCCUUGCUGCUUCUAUGUCAAACUUUGGGGGAGGAGCAUAGAGAGACUCCACAGGAGCCUCCUGCAUGGCACCGCCUUGACACUGGCCUGGGCACAGCCAACAGGGCUCUGCUUGCCCCAGGGCCGCCUCCUGUGGCCCUUUUAGGGACAUGCCCACCUCCUUCUAAAUCCUACCUGUUUCUGUAAUUUCGUCCUUCCAGGGAGCUUGAUUGGCCCUGGCAGGAGGAAAGUGGAAGGUAAGUGGGGUGGUGUGACUUUAGGGAGAGCUCCCUUCCUACCUGAUAGGAACUUCCUCAGAUAUGCUGAGAUCUUGAAGGUCUAGGUAUCAGUGACAUCCAAGUAGUCACCACCAACAUUCAACUACUUUAUUGUACACUGGUUUGAAUGGUUUAUACUUAUGUGUACAAUUUUUCAAUUAAUAAGGCAGCACAAACAAAAGUACUGCAUAGAGUCUGGGUCCUGGCUCAGGCCCAGCUUUGGGUGGAUGGGGGAAGGAACUUGACAUCUGUGACCAUCCACCCGUUGCACAUGGGUCACUUGUAGGCUGGCUUCUGUCAGCUCUGCUGAAAUGGGUCCUGUGUGAGCCCUGGCCUACUGGCUGCAGCACUGACACCUCUGGGGUCUCCCUCCCCAACCCUGGCCCUUUCUUUCCUGUGUUCCCUGGAUCCAUGCUGCUGCUUCCCUGCAAUCUGCUUACUUUUGUUUCUGUUGCCCAGGCCUAUCGUGCUGUUCUUCUAGGAAGUGAGUUUCUGUCUGGAGCAAGUCUAAAUACUGUGUACUGGGCGGUGGGGCACCUGUAUCCUCCAGGUCAGCACCCUGUGCCUCAACCCUGAUCUCCUCUUCCACCUCCCCAAGGCCCAUGGCUCUGUGGUCCAGCAUGUGUAGAAAUUGAGCUGACACGGACUCUGAUAAGGAGGCAGUCAUCUUGUGCCUCCAGGUUGCUGUGACAUCACUGAGAUGACCCCUACUCCCACCCUUAUCUAAAAAUAUCAGACUUCAAUCUCUAAGAUGCAGGAACAAGUUCCUACAUGUUUUUCAUCACCCAGUGUCCUGCAUGAGCAAGAAUGUUCCCAUCCUCCUUGAAUAGGGUGAGUAGUGUGGAGCAAAGGUGGGAAGAUUGGAGAGGAAACUGGUUGCUUAUAUCUGAGAAGAGUACAGGUUCUCGUGGUAAUAAAAGCAGGUGGAACCUGCAGUUUCA